rnacentral:rRNA from 1 species
UACAGAGGGUGCAAGCGUUAAUCGGAAUUACUGGGCGUAAAGCGUGCGUAGACGGUUAUUUAAGUCAGGUGUGAAAGCCCCGGGCUCAACCUGGGAAUUGCAUUUGAGACUGAAUAGCUAGGGUGCGGAAGAGGGAAGCGGAAUUUCCGGUGUAGCGGUGAAAUGCGUAGAGAUGUGGAGGAAUACCGAUGGCGAAGGCAGCCCCCUGGGAUGAUACUGACGCUCAUGCACGAAAGCGUGGGGAGCAAACAGG